CCUUUGACGUUAGCGGCGGACGGGUGAGUAACACGGUGGGUAACUACCUAUAAGACUGGGAUAACUUCGGGAAACCGGAGCUAAUACCGGAUAAUAUUUCGAACCGCAUGGUUCGAUAGUGAAAGGUGGUUUUGCUAUCACUUAUAGAUGGACCCGCGCCGUAUUAGCUAGUUGGUAAGGUAACGGCUUACCAAGGCGACGAUACGUAGCCGACCUGAGAGGGUGAUCGGCCACACUGGAACUGAGACACGGUCCAGACUCCUACGGGAGGCAGCAGCG
rnacentral:rRNA from 1 species